AUUGAACGCUGGCGGCAGGCCUAACACAUGCAAGUCGAGCGGAUGACGGGAGCUUGCUCCUUGAUUCAGCGGCGGACGGGUGAGUAAUGCCUAGGAAUCUGCCUGGUAGUGGGGGACAACGUUUCGGAAGGAACGCUAAUACCGCAUACGUCCUACGGGAGAAAGCAGGGGACCUUCGGGCCUUGCGCUAUCAGAUGAGCCUAGGUCGGAUUAGCUAGUAGGUGAGGUAAUGGCUCACCUAGGCGACGAUCCGUAACUGGUCUGAGAGGAGGAUCAGUCAAACUGGAACUGAGACACGGUCAAGACUCCUACGGGAGGCAGCAGUGGGGAAUAUUGGACAAUGGGCGAAAGCCUGAUCCAGCCAUGCCGCGUGUGUGAAGAAGGUCUUCGGAUUGUAAAGCACUUUAAGUUGGGAGGAAGGGCAGUAAGCUAAUACCUUGCUGUUUUGACGUUACCGACAGAAUAAGCACCGGCUAACUCUGUGCCAGCAGCCGCCGUAAGAC
rnacentral:rRNA from 1 species